UACGGGGGGAGCAAGCGUUGUUCGGAUUUACUGGGCGUAAAGGGCGCGUAGGCGGUCAGCACAAGUCAGUUGUGAAAUCUCCGGGCUUAACUCGGAAAGGUCAACUGAUACUGUGCGACUAGAGUGCAGAAGGGGCAACUGGAAUUCUUGGUGUAGCGGUGAAAUGCGUAGAUAUCGAGAGGAACACCUGCGGCGAAGGCGGGUUGCUGGGCUGACACUGACGCUGAUGCGCGAAAGCCAGGGGAGCGAACGGG
rnacentral:rRNA from 1 species